AAGGUGGGACAACUCAAGCAGGGAGGGGACUUCCAGGUCACAGGAUGUUGAUAUAAGGUCUCAUUGCCUUCCUCAGCAAUCUUCUGAAUCUGGCAUUCCUUCUGAGAAGACUAACAAGCAUUCAUCCAAAAUGUUCGUCAUUGGAAAGUUAGCUGUAAUUUGAUCUAACUUCUCACUCAAUAUGAUAGUUUUUUUUUGGUAUACAAGAGACCUGAUGGAAUCUUUCUUAGGUAAGCCAAAUCUGUCUCUCUGAAUCGUUCACC
rnacentral:lncRNA from 1 species